rnacentral:rRNA from 1 species
UAGCGUGAAGGAUGACUGCCCUAUGGGUUGUAAACUUUCUUUUAUAAAGGAAUAAAGUCGGGUAUGGAUACCCGUUUGCAUGUACUUUAUGAAUAAGGAUCGGCUAACUCCGUGCCAGCAGCCGCGGUAAUACGGAGGAUCCGAGCGUUAUCCGGAUUUAUUGGGUUUAAAGGGAGCGUAGAUGGAUGUUUAAGUCAGUUGUGAAAGUUUGCGGCUCAACCGUAAAAUUGCAGUUGAUACUGGAUAUCUUGAGUGCAGUUGAGGCAGGCGGAAUUCGUGGUGUAGCGGUGAAAUGCUUAGAUAUCACGAAGAACUCCGAUUGCGAAGGCAGCCUGCUAAGCUGCAACUGACAUUGAGGCUCGAAAGUGUGGGUAUCAAACAGGAUUAGAUACCCCCGGUAGUCCACACGGUAAACGAUGAAUACUCGCUGUUUGCGAUAUACUGCAAGCGGCCAAGCGAAAGCGUUAAGUAUUCCACCUGGGGAGUA